rnacentral:tRNA from 2 species
GCGCCCGUAGCUCAGCUGGAUAGAGCGACGGACUCCGGAUCCGUAGGUCGCAGGUUCGAGUCCUGUCAGGCGUGCCA